rnacentral:lncRNA from 1 species
AGUAAAAGACAAUUCUGCCCAUCUGUGUGUCUGUCUGUCCAUCUACAGAGCCCAAAUUCUUUAAAAGGUCUCCACCCAUUGGACAGAAUUUUACAUACUUUUGCACUUUUCAUAAUGAUACUCCGAAAGAGAUAUUCAUCUGUAAGGGAGAAGAUCCAUCUAUAUGUCCACCUCUAGUAACCAGCACACAGCCCGACAAAACUGGGAAGUUUUCCAUGAAGAAGUCAGAGUCCAAAGGUCAAAGGUCAAAGACCGAUUUCAAUGUCAGCAUAACAGUGAGAGAAGUAACAGCAAACGACAGUGGGAUAUACUGGUGCGGAGCAGAAAGCAAGGACAAAACACGCAGCAAUGUGUUCUUCCACAAAUUCUCAAUGACUGUGGUACCAACACCAACACCCACAUCUGGUGUUUCUUCAACCGAGCUAAAUACUUCAACACCUGCUGAGGAUAAUGGUAAGACAGCUUGUUUAAUAUCUUAAACCUUCUGCUGCAGAAGAGCAAGAGGAGAUCCAUCCUCAUGUAUUGAUAAAAUAAUAAUCUGGACAUUUUCUUUGCUCUGUGGUUUAUCUUGCAGGCGGCUCCAACAUGCUCAUCCCUGUGACUGUCUCAGUAGCUGUACUGUUGCUGUUUGUGCUCAUUUUGAUCAUUUUCUACAAAAGAUUUACUCAUUCAAAAAACACAAGAAAUGGAGCGACAGCACAGGACAUCAAAGAGGACAAUAUCUACGCUGAGAUACAAGCCCCUGCCAGCGUGCAUUACUCUACCAUCGUCUUUAAAAACAGCUCCAACAAAGCUGGUGGUGAUAAACUGAUCGUCAAACCCAGAUCUGCCUGUGAAUACUCAACUGUGAAGCACAGUGACAGUCCAGUCUACUAUACUGUCAACAAACCUUCCACAUCUUCACAGGAUCCACUCUACUCAACAGUCUCCAACAAAUGGUAACAAUGAGGAAAGAUCAUUUUGUCAUUGUUACAAAUGGGAUUUAUGAGGUUUACUACAUUUAUGGCCAUGAUUUCAGGAAUUACUCCAAGAUUUUCAGAUGCUGGGCUCAGUCAACUUAAAUCCCAGUUCUCUGAAGUUGUGCAGGAUUCACUUAAUCAGCCAUGAAUCACAAAAGCUUGGUGACAGGAUGAUGUAUGAUAUCUAGAUGAGUCCUUUGUUUGACUUAGACUGUUUCAAUCCAUAUUAGAGCUUCACCAAUACUUCUCUCUUGAUUUAUUACCUCAGUAAACACUUUCUUGAUGAGUUCAUGGUCUCAAUCUCUAGUUUCUAGUCUUCUUCAAUACAGCAUGAUUUUCAUUUUGUUCCAUUAUUAUACAUUUAUGUAACGGUGCAGGCUAGAAAAGUCAAUUGAGGAAGAGCUUUAAAAUAUACCUGUAACAUAAAUCACUGUCUAUCAUGUAGCCUAAGUUCUAAUUUCUGCAUACCGUUUUCAAAUGUAUAUUUCUCAAUUUCAACAAUUUUGUCAUUAAACCUGAAUAAUGUUGGACACUAGGGCUGCACGAUUCUGGAAAAAAUGUGAAUCACAAUUUUUUUGCUUAGAAUUGAGAUCACGAUUCUCUGGCACGAUUUUUUUCACAAAAUGUUUAUUGCACUGAUGAACUUGAACAAAACAAAAAAAAACAUUGUAGUAUGGCAGAGGCAUACUACUAUGCCUCUGCCAAAGCAAUGUUUUUUUGGUUUUGUUAGUUCUAUCAUUGGAUGAGAAAUGAUUUUUACAAAAGUAAAAAAAGUCUCCAAGAUGAGAGGGCAUCCUGUAAUACCUCAUGUUGUACAGUGUUUAUUGGGGCCGUAGCUUUGGCUAGGUGAUAUGUGAUAGCUGCUGUGAUCGGCUUUCUAAAACGGAGGCAUAAUAUUCUUCCUUUUCCAAAAGCCGCCUCAGAGGUAGGCGUAAACAUGUGACGUGACGUGAAGCCCGAAGUUGAACAGUUGACAACUAAUUUGUCUUCAAAAUAAGAGCUUUACAUUGCACCCCAUUGGAGUUUAGAACUGGGUUCUUAGCGGGGGGCUUUUAAUUUGAAAGUAGCGACCGUUCCUAGCCUGUCGCUACAACAACAAGCUAGCAGUCGAGGCGGAAAUAAGUGCACCGUCCGAGGCAGCAAAUCGGCGGACCAAAACAGACCCCCAAUUUGCCGCCCUCUGUCUAAAACCGCGGACCUAGCCGUCAAUAGGACGGGCAGAUUGGUGGCUUGCUGCCCCGUCUAAAAACGGCUUCUCACUCACUCCUUCCAAACACUUAACUGCAGGUGGGCUUCCUCCACUGAAUCACGUGUUGUAAAGACGCUUUACCACAGGUUGAGGGAGGAGGCAGCGGCCGUGCUGCGCUUGGGGGCGCUUCAAAAAAUCCGGGAGGAAAAUAGGAGCAUUUGUUUGUGAUUCGGCUCGAGAUAUAAAAUGCUUCAGAAUCGCUGUGUGUAGAAAUGAGAUCACGUGUAUGUGUGAAUCAAGAUCGCGAUUUUUUAACGAUUUUUUGUGCAGCCCUAUUGGACACAUCCAUUUUCAUUUCAAUGUUCUGUAGAAACACACAAUUCUGUAUAUUAGCUGUAGCUUUUUUUCUUUUUAAAAGCCAAAGUAGCAGGUAACAUAAUUAUUAUUUAUACAUUGUAUGAAAUAUAUUGCAAUGCUUUUUGGAUUGUGGUGGUGUGGACAGUGGCGGUCCUAGCUCGCCCUGGGUGGAACUCACCUACGGCCUUUUAUUUCAUUUUAUAGCUACUCAAGCAUUUUAUUGUAUAUAGUAUUUUAUUGUUUUUUGUAUAUUGUAUAUAGUACUUUAUUGUUUCUAUUGCCGCCCUCGCCAUCCUGUCCCGCCUGCCGAGGCGUUUUGCCUUCGAUGUAGGCCUCCCACUCCGACUCCCAAGUUGACCAGUCUUGCCGGAAGACUCCCACCCCCGCUCUUGGGGUAUUCAGCCUUUAAGUAUUGGAUUUGUUGUAACAGACAUUGUAUGUAUGAAAUGUGCAAUACAAAUAAAAACUGGCUCAUCUUACCCAACAUAAACUACUUUAUCAGUC